rnacentral:rRNA from 1 species
UACGGAGGGUGCAAGCGUUAUCCGGAUUUACUGGGCUUAAAGGGCGCGUAGGCGGGUAGGAAAGUCAGUGGUGAAAUCUUCGGGCUUAACCCGGAAACUGCCAUUGAUACUAUUUAUCUUGAAUACUUUGGAGGUAAGCGGAAUAUGUCAUGUAGCGGUGAAAUGCUUAGAUAUGACAUAGAACACCAAUUGCGAAGGCAGCUUACUACACAGUUAUUGACACUGAGGCACGAAAGCGUGGGGAUCAAACAGG